rfam:Agrilus planipennis Contig61123, whole genome shotgun sequence.
ACAAGGUCCAUUUAAAUAUAUGGAUAUCUACUUUCGAUUAUGGCUAAAGAGGACCUUAAUUGGUCCUAGAACGGCCUGAGGUAGAGGGGUUUUAGUCGGUAGGUCCGAGGACUUCUUCCUCGGGAAUCCGACACUACCCAGUUGUACGGACGGCUGGGUGUCUUUUGAAGAUUUCCCCUCUUCCACGAAA